UACGUAGGGGGCAAGCGUUGUCCGGAAUUAUUGGGCGUAAAGAGCUCGUAGGCGGUCUGUUGCGUCGGCUGUGAAAACCCGGGGCUCAACUCCGGGCCUGCAGCCGAUACGGGCAGACUAGAGUUCGGCAGGGGAGACUGGAAUUCCUGGUGUAGCGGUGAAAUGCGCAGAUAUCAGGAGGAACACCGGUGGCGAAGGCAGUGAUCUGGGCCGGUACUGACGCUGAGGAGCGAAAGCGUGGGUAGCAAACAGG
rnacentral:rRNA from 1 species